GACGAACGCUGGCGGCGUGCCUAAUACAUGCAAGUCGAACGAGAGCGACCGGUGCUUGCACUGGUCAAUCUAGUGGCGAACGGGUGAGUAACACGUGGGUAACCUGCCCAUCAGAGGGGGAUAACAUCCGGAAACGGAUGCUAAAACCGCAUAGGUCUUCGAGCCGCAUGGCUUGAAGAGGAAAAGAGGCGCAAGCUUCUGCUGAUGGAUGGACCCGCGGUGCAUUAGCUAGUUGGUGAGGUAACGGCUCACCAAGGCCGUGAUGCAUAGCCGACCUGAGAGGGUGAUCGGCGACAUUGGGACUGAGACACGGCCCAAACUCCUACGGGAGGCAGCAGUAGGGAAUCUUCCGCAAUGGACGCAAGUCUGACGGAGCAACGCCGCGUGAGUGAAGAAGGUUUUCGGAUCGUAAAACUCUGUUGUUAGAGAAGAACAAGUGCUAGAGUAACUGUUAGCGCCUUGACGGUAUCUAACCAGAAAGCCACGGCUAACUACGUG
rnacentral:rRNA from 1 species